CAGACACCUUUUUAUUGAAACCCACCCAUGAAAGAAGUAAGGACACUGUAUAAGUGGUGCUGACAUGGUCCACCUGACCCGGUACUUUUUAUUGGAAAGAAGUAGAUUGUCACCAGAAGACCACUUCUCAGCAUAUACAAGCCACAUUCCAAAGAGAUGUCCCCAGCUUCAGCCCGGGCAGAGUCAUCUCACCAUAAUGGAGAUCUGCAACUGUGUUGGAGCUACAGCCAGAGAUCCAGACAGCAGCC